rnacentral:rRNA from 1 species
UCACUGCCGCCGCUGCUGCUGCUACUGCUGCUGCUACUGCUGCUGCUGCUGCGGGUCACGGAGCGUUGGAGCUCGUCCGAGAAAGCGAGAGAAGGCGCGAGCGUGACUUCCAACGGGGAGC